rnacentral:tRNA from 1 species
UCUAAUAUGGCAGAUAAGUGCAAUGGAUUUAAGCUCCAUAUAUAAAAGUUUAUGCUUUUUGUUAGAA